UGUCUGCGUUUUACUCCAUUUCCUAUGCGUUUAAUGCACGGUGCUGUGUUUUUAUAGACAUCAGAGGAUUCGUUCCCUUCAACACACCCAUCAAGGAAUUAAUCCCAGCCCAAAUAAAUUACCCUUUCUAUCUAAAAUUCUUUUUCGAUUUGAAUUCCCCCAAAUUAGAAUUCCCGUUAGAAAAAGCAUCACUCCCAUUAACCGCCUCACUUUCUAGUCUCGAUUUCUCCGGCUGCGACGACGCCUCCGAUUCCGGCUGCUCAUCGUGGCUCCAGGCGCCGCCGACGUCGAAGCAAUCUCCGUGUUUAUUUAAAUCGACGAGGCGGGAUACACGUCACCGUCGACCUCCUCACGGACUCACCGUCUGAUUUCGGUGCCGCCGAUUCUCUCUGAGCGGCUCUCCAGAAUCCACCAAGCAGUCGUUGCAGCGGUGGACUGCCGUGGACUUCUCGGCCUAACUAAGUUGUUUCCAUUAACUUUCCAGUUUAUAAAUUUUAUCUUCCUGUUUGGCUAGAUAUGUUAGGGAGUUAGAUCUGGGUCAUGAUAUAUGGGUUCCCAUCUUGAUUUGUGAAGCUAUUAAACUUAUUGUGAUGUCCAAACAUUCUUGGGUUGAAAGAGCAGGUCAUCGCUUGUUUAUU